rnacentral:rRNA from 1 species
CCUACGGGUGGCAGCAGUGAGGAAUAUUGGUCAAUGGACGAGAGUCUGAACCAGCCAAGUAGCGUGAAGGAUGACUGCCCUAUGGGUUGUAAACUUCUUUUAUAUGGGAAUAAAACGUUCCACGUGUGGGAUUUUGUAUGUACCAUAUGAAUAAGGAUCGGCUAACUCCGUGCCAGCAGCCGGGGUAAUACGGAGGAUCCGGGCGUUAUCCGGAUUUAUUGGGUUUAAAGGGAGCGUAGGUGGAUUGGUAAGUCAGUUGUGAAAGUUUGCGGCUCAACCGUAAAAUUGCAGUUGAAACUGACAGGCUAGAGUACAGUAGAGGUGGGCGGAAUUCGUGGUGUAGCGGUGAAAUGCUUAGAUAUCACGAAGAACUCCGAUUGCGAAGGCAGCUUACUAAACUGCAACUGACAUUGAUGCUCGAAAGUGUGGGUAUCAAACAGGAUUAGAUACCCUAGUAGUC